GCCGGUGUGGCUCAGUGGAUAGAGCACCGGCCUGCAAACCGAAGGGUCCGGGUUCGAUUCCCAUCAAGGGCA
rfam:Myotis brandtii contig157855, whole genome shotgun sequence.